rnacentral:lncRNA from 1 species
AAGAGAAGAAGAAAUGCAGCAACCUGAUAGAUGGCAAGCAUUUCCAGGUAGAAGGGUAUGGAAAUGACCAAGUGAGGACUCAAGAUCAGAGAUUGGACUGGUCUGAUCGACUGCAUCUUAGGGUUGAGCCCGAGGGUGGGAGAAACCUUGUCCAUUGGCCCACACAUCCCAAAUCUUUCAGGUAAUCUAUCAGCGAUACUUAAAACGGAUCUUUCUUUCUUGUCUGCUUUGUAGAACAGAGUUCAUUUGCUGAUUUAUGUCUUGAGUGCUAUAACCUGACAUGGACUGCAGAAAUAAAAUAAACAUUUGUAAACUAGGCUUGGUUUAAUUGGACUACAUGGGCUCUGUUUGCAGGGAUGAUCUGCACGAAUACACAUUGAAGUGCAAGAGAAUCAAAGGCGACAUCCUUCGGGCAAUGGCUAAGAUUUUGGAGCUUGAUGAAGACUGCCUUGUUAAUCAGUUUAACAGCAACGCCCCCACUUUUGCUAGAUUCAACCACUUCCCUCCGUGUCCAAGACCUGAUCUUGUCCUGGGCAUCAAGCCUCACGCCGAUUUCCCUGCUCUCACGGUUCUCCUCAUGGACAAAGACGUCGCGGGGCUGCAAUAUCUGAAAGAUGGAACCUGGUACAAUGUUCCAGCUGCGUGUGACCACACCUUGCUGAUCAGCAUUGGUCUUACAAUGGAGGUGACCAUCUCUGAACCUCCAGUAAUUUUUCUCCCAUAUGAAGUUCUUGUCUUCUUGAUGACUUUCGCCUGACCGUUCCUCGUGCAGAUAAUGACCAACGGGAUGUUCACGGGGCCAAUGCAUAGAGUUGUGACUAAUGCCGAUAAAGAGAGGAUAUCAGUGGCCAUGUUCUAUGGUGUGGAUCCCGAGCAAGAGAUUGGGCCGAUAGCUCAUCUGUUAAGUGAGGAGCAACCGGCACAGUACAGGAAAAUGAAGGCCAAUGACUUGUUAGUGUUGCACCAUGAACAUUACGCUGGAGGCCGAGGACCAAGAAUUGCCGAUGCACUGAAGAUCUAAGUAAGAUGGCUGUAGUUCCAUGCUAGAGUACCCAUGGAAAGUAGUAAAUAAUUGGUGAACUUACAGGGAGCAAUCUGGCUAUAAUGAAGAAUCAGCCUUGUUUAUGUUUGGUUUGUAUUAACAUGCUCUCUGAGCACUUUCAUAUUCUCUUAUCUGCUCAAGUGUCUCCACCGUUCCU